AGAACGUCGUGAGACAGUUCGGUCUCUAUCUACUGCGGGCGUCAGAGAUUUGAGCGGUGCCGGCCCUAGUACGAGAGGACCGGGCCGGACCGACCGCUGGUGCACCGGUUGUCCCGCCAGGGGCAUCGCCGGGUAGCCACGUCGGGACGGGAUAAGCGCUGAAGGCAUAUAAGCGCGAAACCCGCCGCGAGAUGAGAUCUCUUUAAAGGGCCGUGGGAGACGACCACGUCGAUAGGCCGCAGGUGGAAGUGCAGCGAUG
rnacentral:rRNA from 1 species